GCCGUAUGAGAGUCUGGACACGCUCGGCCUUCACGUCAGCGAGCCCGGUGGGGUAGCUGCUGGACACUCGCAGUUCCCUCUUUCCUCGACUUACAGCCCACUUAUUCCAUCUAGAAAACACAAUCAGAGGAAUUCGGGUAUCAUGACUGGGGAAGACGCUGCCAGGACUUACUUCUUUCUGAACUCCGAUGCCACGUCGAGCCGAGCAGUGUCGGCGCCUAGGAAGGCGAGUGAGCCCAGGAACAUCAGAGCGACGGAAAACAGUUUCAUUCUGGCAAUGCACAGACACUGAAAAAGUAGAGAGGACGAGCAUGAGCACUCUGGUCUGCUGCACCGCCCAGGCCGGGCACAGCCGGAGGGCGGGGGUCCCCGGAGCCGGCAGUCUCAGCCCCUUGUUCUGCUUGGUUUAGACGCUUAUCUCCCCUGGGCUCAGCGACGCCAGAGGCGUUUGCACCCGCCGAUGACCCGCCCCACAGGGGAAGCAGCUGCACAGCACCAGGCUCCCAGAGGUUCCCUGCUCAAUGCUUGAAACUUGGUUUGUGAAACAGAGACUAGGUCUCUGGAGCUCCAUCUGUAUGCAUGAGCGGGAUUCAGAGAUGCGGGGUGUACCCCGCAGAGAAUUACCCAAAGUGAGUUAUUUUCCUCAUCCAGCGCUCCCAGUUUCGGGUUUUGGCAAAUGCUCCCCCCUCCCGCUUUAAUUCGCUGGGCCUAUGGCACCUACCUGCUGAAGGGGUGAUCUGCCAAGUUCUUGGAGGGAAAGGUCCGAGACGUCCCUGUCUGGCAGUAGCAAAACACUGAAGUCCAAGACUGUGAUGAGAAGCCAGAAGAGGUAAGGCUGAAGCUGUUCUGCCUAGUGUCACCAAGAAACCACUGAGUGGCCAGCACUGGUUCCUGCGCUUUAUAAGAGCCGAGGGGGCGGGGCCUGUUCUGCCCUCGCGCCCUCCCUUUCCUCCCGCGCGCGCGCCCCAGCGCAGUGCUUUCCCUUGAGUGUGGGGUUGGGGGGACUCUUGUGCUUGUGCCCGGAGGGCUCAGAGAUGGGCUCCAGGAGAUUGGUGGAGAAACUGCCACAAACCUAAUUCUCUGACAUGGGUUCAGGUGAUAAGCAGGGGCGAAGGAAGACCGGGAAAACUUUUUGGGGGGGGAGUGGGAGUGGGGUUCUUAUCCCAGGACCUGUACAACUCAGUGAGGGGCCUUCUGGCAUCGAGUUGCUAGAGCUAGAGCCGGAGGACUGUGCGCGUGGCCUGAGCCCGGGACCUGGGGAGCUGUGGCUUCGAGUGGACCGCGCCCCCUGCCGGCUCAGCGCCUGACCUAGACUCGACCCCAGACUCCCGCGGAGCCUCGGGGCAGGGUACGGAUAAAGAACCCAGGAGAGAAGAGUGGGACGCUAGCCCCCGAGAGCGGCUGAGGCCCCGAGAUUUCUGGAUGGGCUACUGAGAUUUCGCAAUAAGAACAAAGCUCGAAGGGCUGAAUUGAGAAUUGGGAUUUGGAGGGGGUAGUUAUCCGAAGUUUCAGAAUUUACAUGCCUAUUUGGAAAUACGGGAAUAACCAAAAUUAGGAAGAAAGAUACCGUUUUAUCUCCCUCCCACCUUUGUAAUCCAAUUAUGCCUUAUAAGGUUAUAACCUGGCUGCCCUCAUCCACCAUUGUAAACGUGAGGAUUGACUGCCAGGGAGCACACUAACGCUUCACAUAUGUUAAUCGCUUUACAGUUUAAAAGCACAGCCACAUUCCGAUUUCCUUUGAUCUUUAUACUAACCCCUGAGUUAGGGAAGGAAGGUAGCAUUACUUUCCCCGAUUCACCAUGUAUAAAAUUGAAGUUCAGAAAGGGGAAGUGUAUUGGCUAAAGCGACACUAAAUGUAGGAAGCAAAAGAGUCCUAACUCGAUCCGGCAAGCAAGCAAGGUGCUUUGGGGCGCGGCGGCGUGGAUUCUUCUAGGCUGGGGUCACCAUUUCUUCAAGGGGGAGAGAAGAGUCCCAGCCCCCGCCCGAGGAUAUGUGCCUAUUCAUGAUGAAUCAGUUCAAACACGUUUGUCACCCAUUUGUGCUAUUCCCUCCCAGCUUCUCCACUUCACUUUCUUGCUUACUUUCUGGGGGCCAAAUUAGGGAGGAAAGGCUCAGCCCCGUGGGGCUCCCUACUUUUUACAUGUGGGUCUCUGGUGUCCUGUCACUCACAACCCCAAUCAAAUGUGCUGAAGUCCAGCAACUAAAUUGAGGCCCAGGGUGUGAGACCACUGACUAAACUGGCUUCUUGUCCUUGUUCCCUGACAAUUCGGACAUGGGCAAGUCACGGUCUCUCUUUAGUGUCCGCAUCUAGAAUGUGUUCCCUGCAGAUCUCCAAAUUCCCCACCUCCCCUGCCAUAAUCAGUCUGAGAUUCAGGGAACUGGAUCCCCCGACCUUGUCCACAAUGUUCCUGGGCUGAGCAUACUGGCUCAGCCUCCUUUUCACUCUCAGGACUGAACCAUGGACUUUGCACCUGGGGAAGAAAUGGCCGCGACAAGGUUAUUAUGAGGGCUCUUGCCAGAGGGAAUCACUAGACGUGAGUUCCAGCUGAGAGCUGGGACAGACUCCAGGUUCUGGCUCUGGAUCUUCUUCACACAGAUCCUGUCUAAGAUGAUGGGCUGUCAGUCUCUAAGGAUGCAACCUACCUGUCACCAGCUUCCAGCUGAGUCCGCACCAGAUCAGGUUUUACUUUCAUUUCCCCAGCAUGCGCCCAGGAGGUCAAGGACAGCUGGGCGUUGGCCCACUGCCAGGGACCGUCCCGUGAUCUGGACUCGUUCCUUCCAGUCCCCACCAACCCUUAGAGGUUCCGUCUACAUAGAACUCUGCGGCUGUACCUCGUUACUUCCUCGCUAUGUCCUUCAGGUAGACGGUGAUUCUUUGAGGGAAACUGAGAUCUAGCUUCGAGCCAUGAUCUUGAAACGUGAUCUUGGCUCAGACGUCUUUUUGAGCUGCAGGCGGCUUCAACAAGGAAAAUAAUCCAGGGGUGGAAACAGACUCAGUGGCUUGGCUCCAUCAAGCUAAAGUGUCUGCGCCAGCGGUGUCACGUCUGUGCCAGUAUUCCCACCUGAGAGCCUUGGCACGGGUCUUAUCAGCCUGGGUGCUGUUUGCCUCUCAUGCAAUUAGCAGGUCUGUCGCUUAAUAAAAAAAGCCAAUACUUUCUUUAAUUUCUAUAUUGGCAAUUCAGAGGAUUUUAUUAGAAAAUCCGUAUCUUGGAAAGUGUGUGUGCCUGAGUGGGGCAGCAGGGGUCAGAUUGUCCCCAAAACAUCUUAGGGCCUAAGUCCAAAAAAGAUAAUGAAUUUGCCAAAUCUGGACAUCCAUCCCACCCCCCCACCCGGUGGAAACUAGUUGCCUUACUUAAUCAUCCUUAAAGGAAAAAACAACAACAACAACAUAAAUGCAGCACACACAAAAAAACAACACAGGAGUUCUCUUUCUGGUGAUUUGUUAACACAAGAGUUUCCUCCAUUCAAAUUGCAAUGAUUGUAGAUUCCCACUGACCAUGGACAGUACAAGGAAGGAAGGAAGGAAGGAAGGAAAGGAAGAGAUAUCUUAAAUAUCUUCCUGGCAGGAAAAGAGAAGAAAAAAAAAAGAAAAGAAAUCCUGGUUAAUGAAGACCCACUAAUUUUGUGUGUGUACACCAAAUAAUUUUGAAGGUGAGAUUAUAAAUAAACUCCCAAAGCAUUGUAAUAAAUGUGUAUAUCCUGACAUGGUAUGUACAAACAUAAGUAUACAUACUGAAAGUUUGUUGAA